CGGCGGCGGUGGGGGACCGCGUUGCUCUGGAGGCGGCGCUGUGGCGUCUCUCCACGCCGCUCGCCGUCGGUGUUCUAUUCGACAGCUUGCCUCCUCGCCGUCGUGUCCUUGCGGCGCGAAACAGCAUUUUUUCCCCUCUUUUUCCGCUCGUGAUUUUGACUGUUACUGUUACGACGGGAGAGAAGGGUGGGGCCAUAGAAGUGAGCCCACAUCCAGCAUCUGACCCUUGACCUUGCCGCCGUUGUGGCCAGUCGGCCAUGCCUCGGUGAGCCGGCUGCUGCUUCGCCGGCGGGGCGGCGCCUCCGCCCUCCCCUCGCUGGUGGGCUGUGGUUUACUUCGAGGCGGCGGUAGCUCGUGCGGCGGGCGAGAUUCCUCUCGGCCCAGAUCCGAUUGGUAUCGCCGGGACCCCUCUUCCGGGGCCAUCCCCCACCUUCGCGAACAUGCGCCCGCCGGGCACCGAUCUGGUCGCCAUCGCUGAGGUCGAUGUACGCAGGCAUGUCUGUGUGUUGGGCAUUUGGGGUUUAGAGGACAGCAUCCUCGAUGUGCUUUGGGGUCCUGUUCAUUGAGUUCUACCUACUUCGAGGGAAAUUGACUUGUAAGAACACCGGAGCCAUCUAUUCUGAUUUUAAAGGUCCAUUCAACCUGUCAAAGAGCAGCAAAAGAAGUGUAUCACAGGCUUGUGACAGAUACAACUUUGCCAGGAGAUUUCUCUCUGCCUGUGCGCACAAAUUGCUAUGCCUUAUCAGCAUCUGCUACACGCUUGCCCCAUGCAUUCUGUUGGCAAUGACUUAUUGUUGUGUGGUGACAAGUGAUGCUUAGAAGAAUUUCAUAUGAUGGUAACAAAUCAAAAUUUGAUAGAGCAAUUUGGUAUGUUCAGUAAAAACAAGAUACACUCGAGUGACUUCACAGUUAGCACAGACCUGAGUAGUGUUCUGACCAGUUCUUUGGUGUGGUAUUUUCCGCCUUCAGGGAGCGGUGCAGGACGCAGCAAGCUCUUCGUCGCACUCGGCAACCAUCUUCUCGGAGCAGGCGCAUCAGGUCCUUGUGCCCAGGGCGCUGGGUAUACUUUCCUAUUUUUUUUUCAACUUGGAUCUCCCAUUUCAGCUCAAUACUCUCUUGCUUUUGUAUUGAUAUGGUUUUGUGCUGAGUUUGCAAUUACUCCAAUUGCACUCGAUUUGUGCCAUAUAGGUACCAUCUGAAAUAACUAAACUGCAAUUAGAUUUAUUCACAAAAGGUUGUCAGGGUUUGAUAGGGUAAUUUGUUAUGUCCUGUGAAAACCCUACCAAUUGAGUGAUUGCUCAAUAGCUCGAAGAAGAGGAGUGCUCUUACCAAUUAUGUGGGGCAAUAGUAACCUGUAUCUGUGGAAUUUCUUGAGUUAUCAUAUAUUUCUAGAAGAGGAUAUAAAUUAUAAAGAACAUCAUAGGCAAGUUCCUUUCCAAAUGAUACAGUUAAAUAGUUAAUGAUUACCAAGCCCCAAGUAGUUACAGUGUCAUUGUUUUGCCUGAUUUAAGUUUAUGAGGUAUAAAACUGACUUCAGAAAUCAUAAGUUCAGUCUGUGUUGUACAAUGGACUAAAAGUGAAGUGAACUUUUGGAUGACUAGCAAAUAUACAUAAGUUAGCGCACUAUGCAGCCUCGAUGGAAUCUGAAAGCUUGUCAAC